CCGUGUAGCCUUUGCUGAAGGGAGGGAGAGACUUGGAAGGAGUGUCAGCUCGUCCAGCGAGCGAGCGGCGAGGUGACAAAAUGGAUUCAGACAAAUCAGAGGAUCACAAAAAGCAGCA